rnacentral:rRNA from 1 species
UGCGUAGGUGGCGUGGUAAGUCAGAUGUGAAAGCCCGGGCUCAACCUCGGAAUUGCAUCCGAUACUGCCGUGCUAGAGUACUGAAGAGGUGACUAGAAUUCUCGGUGUAGCAGUGAAAUGCGUAGAUAUCGAGAGGAAUACCAACGGCGAAGGCAGGUCACUGGGCAGUUACUGACACUGAGGCACGAAGGCCAGGGGAGCAAAC